rfam:Clonorchis sinensis DNA, scaffold: 2315, strain: Henan.
GGUUAAGCGACUAAGCGUACACGGUGGAUGCCCUGGCAGUCAGAGGCGAUGAAGGACGUGCUAAUCUGCGAUAAGCGUCGGUAAGGUGAUAUGAACCGUUAUAACCGGCGAUUUCCGAAUGGGGAAACCCAGUGUGUUUCGACACACUAUCAUUAACUGAAUCCAUAGGUUAAUGAGGCGAACCGGGGGAACUGAAACAUCUAAGUACCCCGAGGAAAAGAAAUCAACCGAGAUUCCCCCAGUAGCGGCGAGCGAACGGGGAGCAGCCCAGAGCCUGAAUCAGUGUGUGUGUUAGUGGAAGCGUCUGGAAAGGCGCGCGAUACAGGGUGACAGCCCCGUACACAAAAAUGCACAUGCUGUGAGCUCGAUGAGUAGGGCGGGACACGUGGUAUCCUGUCUGAAUAUGGGGGGACCAUCCUCCAAGGCUAAAUACUCCUGACUGACCGAUAGUGAACCAGUACCGUGAGGGAAAGGCGAAAAGAACCCCGGCGAGGGGAGUGAAAAAGAACCUGAAACCGUGUACGUACAAGCAGUGGGAGCACGCUUAGGCGUGUGACUGCGUACCUUUUGUAUAAUGGGUCAGCGACUUAUAUUCUGUAGCAAGGUUAACCGAAUAGGGGAGCCGAAGGGAAACCGAGUCUUAACUGGGCGUUAAGUUGCAGGGUAUAGACCCGAAACCCGGUGAUCUAGCCAUGGGCAGGUUGAAGGUUGGGUAACACUAACUGGAGGACCGAACCGACUAAUGUUGAAAAAUUAGCGGAUGACUUGUGGCUGGGGGUGAAAGGCCAAUCAAACCGGGAGAUAGCUGGUUCUCCCCGAAAGCUAUUUAGGUAGCGCCUCGUGAAUUCAUCUCCGGGGGUAGAGCACUGUUUCGGCAAGGGGGUCAUCCCGACUUACCAACCCGAUGCAAACUGCGAAUACCGGAGAAUGUUAUCACGGGAGACACACGGCGGGUGCUAACGUCCGUCGUGAAGAGGGAAACAACCCAGACCGCCAGCUAAGGUCCCAAAGUCAUGGUUAAGUGGGAAACGAUGUGGGAAGGCCCAGACAGCCAGGAUGUUGGCUUAGAAGCAGCCAUCAUUUAAAGAAAGCGUAAUAGCUCACUGGUCGAGUCGGCCUGCGCGGAAGAUGUAACGGGGCUAAACCAUGCACCGAAGCUGCGGCAGCGACGCUUAUGCGUUGUUGGGUAGGGGAGCGUUCUGUAAGCCUGCGAAGGUGUGCUGUGAGGCAUGCUGGAGGUAUCAGAAGUGCGAAUGCUGACAUAAGUAACGAUAAAGCGGGUGAAAAGCCCGCUCGCCGGAAGACCAAGGGUUCCUGUCCAACGUUAAUCGGGGCAGGGUGAGUCGACCCCUAAGGCGAGGCCGAAAGGCGUAGUCGAUGGGAAACAGGUUAAUAUUCCUGUACUUGGUGUUACUGCGAAGGGGGGACGGAGAAGGCUAUGUUGGCCGGGCGACGGUUGUCCCGGUUUAAGCGUGUAGGCUGGUUUUCCAGGCAAAUCCGGAAAAUCAAGGCUGAGGCGUGAUGACGAGGCACUACGGUGCUGAAGCAACAAAUGCCCUGCUUCCAGGAAAAGCCUCUAAGCAUCAGGUAACAUCAAAUCGUACCCCAAACCGACACAGGUGGUCAGGUAGAGAAUACCAAGGCGCUUGAGAGAACUCGGGUGAAGGAACUAGGCAAAAUGGUGCCGUAACUUCGGGAGAAGGCACGCUGAUAUGUAGGUGAAGCGACUUGCUCGUGGAGCUGAAAUCAGUCGAAGAUACCAGCUGGCUGCAACUGUUUAUUAAAAACACAGCACUGUGCAAACACGAAAGUGGACGUAUACGGUGUGACGCCUGCCCGGUGCCGGAAGGUUAAUUGAUGGGGUUAGCGCAAGCGAAGCUCUUGAUCGAAGCCCCGGUAAACGGCGGCCGUAACUAUAACGGUCCUAAGGUAGCGAAAUUCCUUGUCGGGUAAGUUCCGACCUGCACGAAUGGCGUAAUGAUGGCCAGGCUGUCUCCACCCGAGACUCAGUGAAAUUGAACUCGCUGUGAAGAUGCAGUGUACCCGCGGCAAGACGGAAAGACCCCGUGAACCUUUACUAUAGCUUGACACUGAACAUUGAGCCUUGAUGUGUAGGAUAGGUGGGAGGCUUUGAAGUGUGGACGCCAGUCUGCAUGGAGCCGACCUUGAAAUACCACCCUUUAAUGUUUGAUGUUCUAACGUUGACCCGUAAUCCGGGUUGCGGACAGUGUCUGGUGGGUAGUUUGACUGGGGCGGUCUCCUCCUAAAGAGUAACGGAGGAGCACGAAGGUUGGCUAAUCCUGGUCGGACAUCAGGAGGUUAGUGCAAUGGCAUAAGCCAGCUUGACUGCGAGCGUGACGGCGCGAGCAGGUGCGAAAGCAGGUCAUAGUGAUCCGGUGGUUCUGAAUGGAAGGGCCAUCGCUCAACGGAUAAAAGGUACUCCGGGGAUAACAGGCUGAUACCGCCCAAGAGUUCAUAUCGACGGCGGUGUUUGGCACCUCGAUGUCGGCUCAUCACAUCCUGGGGCUGAAGUAGGUCCCAAGGGUAUGGCUGUUCGCCAUUUAAAGUGGUACGCGAGCUGGGUUUAGAACGUCGUGAGACAGUUCGGUCCCUAUCUGCCGUGGGCGCUGGAGAACUGAGGGGGGCUGCUCCUAGUACGAGAGGACCGGAGUGGACGCAUCACUGGUGUUCGGGUUGUCAUGCCAAUGGCACUGCCCGGUAGCUAAAUGCGGAAGAGAUAAGUGCUGAAAGCAUCUAAGCACGAAACUUGCCCCGAGAUGAGUUCUCCCUGACUCCUUGAGAGUCCUGAAGGAACGUUGAAGACGACGACGUUGAUAGGCCGGGUGUGUAAGCGCAGCGAUGCGUUGAGCUAACCGGUACUAAUGAACCGUGAGGCUUAACCUU